rnacentral:rRNA from 1 species
UGGGGGGGCAGGGUUUGGCUNAUGCCAAGCACUGCUCCUCCAACCCGGGAUGGGAUGCGCUCCANUCCAGGACCCCCUGGAUUUGAACCAUCCCUCCCGGCAUGAACAAACCCCGGCGCGGAUUGCGCCAAGGACCAUGAACACAAGCGUGUCCCUCGUCACUCGGUCAUCCGAGGGGCGAUGUGACGACGUCUGAAUANGUAUAACAAAAAUGACUCUCGGCAACGGAUAUCUCGGCUCUCGCAUCGAUGAAGAACGUAGCGAAAUGCGAUACUUGGUGUGAAUUGCAGAAUCCCGUGAACCAUCGAGUCUUUGAACGCAAGUUGCGCCCGAAGCCUUUUGGCCGAGGGCACGUCUGCCUGGGCGUCACGCAUCGCGUCACCCCUCCCCCGCACCGUCGGAGGGAGGGGCGGAUAUUGGCCCCCCGUGCGUUNAUCCUCUGCGCGGUCGGCCUAAAUACGGAGCCCGUGGCCGUGAAUGUCGCGACGAUUGGUGGUGGAUAAAUGGCCUCNCGGCCGUCGAGCAUCGCGUCGCGUCCUUGUGCGGCCUCUGGGAGCUCGGAGGACCCAAAAGANCCUUCCGGCAUNGCACGGAUGGAGCUCUAAACCNNNCGACCCCAGGUCAGGCGG